UAAAACAACAAUCAGAUAAUAGAGAUUUGUGUGA
rnacentral:guide_RNA from 1 species